GAUCAUGGCUCAGGAUGAACGCUAGCUACAGGCUUAACACAUGCAAGUCGAGGGGCAGCAUGGACCCAGCUUUGCUGGGUUUGAUGGCGACCGGCGCACGGGUGGGUAACGCGUAUCCAACCUGCCCUUUACUCCGGGAUAGUCUCCUGAAAGGGAGUUUAAUACCGGAUGUGUUUGUCUUUCCGCAUGGGAGCGACAAAUAAAGAUUAAUUGGUAAAGGAUGGGGAUGCGUCCCAUUAGCUUGUUGGCGGGG
rnacentral:rRNA from 1 species